rnacentral:rRNA from 1 species
GACGAACGCUGGCGGCGUGCCUAAUACAUGCAAGUAGAACGCUGAAGGAGGAGCUUGCUCCUCUGGAUGAGUUGCGAACGGGUGAGUAACGCGUAGGUAACCUGCCUGGUAGCGGGGGAUAACUAUUGGAAACGAUAGCUAAUACCGCAUAACAGUAGAUAUUGCAUGAUAUCUGCUUAAAAGGUGCAAAUGCAUCACUACCAGAUGGACCUGCGUUGUAUUAGCUAGUUGGUGGGGUAACGGCUCACCAAGGCGACGAUACAUAGCCGACCUGAGAGGGUGAUCGGCCACACUGGGACUGAGACACGGCCCAGACUCCUACGGGAGGCAGCAGUAGGGAAUCUUCGGCAAUGGACGGAAGUCUGACCGAGCGACGCCGCGUGAGUGAAGAAGGUUUUCGGAUCGUAAAGCUCUGUUGUAAGAGAAGAACGAGUGUGAGAGUGGAAAGUUCACACUGUGACGGUAUCUUACCAGAAAGGGACGGCUAACUACGUGC